rnacentral:rRNA from 1 species
GACGAACGCUGGCGGCGUGCUUAACACAUGCAAGUCGAACGGAAAGGCCCUGCUUUUGUGGGGUGCUCGAUUGGCGAACGGGUGAGUAACACGUGAGUAACCUCCCCUUGACUUUGUGAUAACUUCAGGGAACUGGGGCUAAUACCGGAUAGGAUCUCCUGCUGCAUGGUGGUGGUUGGAAAGUUCCGGCGUUUGGGGAUGGUCUCGCUGGUUAUCAGCUUGUUGGUGUGGUAGUGGAUUUCCACGGCUUUGAAGGGUAGCCUGCCUGAGAGGGUGACCGGCCACAUUGGGCCUGCGAUAGGGCCCAGAAUCCUACGGGCCGCAGCAGUGGGGAAUCUUGCGCAAUGGGGGGAAGCCUGAUACAGAAACGCCGCGUGCGGGAUGACGGGCUUCGGGUUGUAAACCGAUUUCGCCUGUGCCGAAGCGUGCGUGACGGUAAUGGGUAAAGAAGCACCGGCUAACUACGUG